rnacentral:rRNA from 1 species
AGACCCGUAUGAAAGGCAAAACGAGAGUUCAACUGUCUCUUUAAUCUUAUCAGUGAAAUUUAUUUCUCCGUGCAGAAGCGGAGAUAACCAUAUAAGACGAGAAGACCCUAUGGAGCUUUAAAUACAGAACCAACUACAACCACAUUUUUAGCCAACAGGCAAAAAAUUAAUAAGUGUAGUCGUGGUUUAGAUUUUCGGUUGGGGCGACCGCGGAGUAAAAAUUAACCUCCACGACAUAUAAUUUAGAACGACACUUCGAAAACUAAAACAUUUAUUUUAAUGACCCACUAAGUGACCAACGAACCAAGUUACC